CAAUUCUCCACACGUGAACAUUCUUCAAUUCAAAUUUCCCACGUGGCGAAUCAAAAUCCCACUUUAUCGACACGUGUUAAAACCUGUUUUCUCCAAACUCACAAAUCAAAAUCAAAAGCUUUAUCCACUUUCUUUUUUUGGUCCCCCAAUUUUCGAAUCCAAUAUCUUAACGCCCAACUCUUCUGUGAGUGUCUUUUUGUGUUUGCUCUGGAUCUGUGAUCUGAGAGUGUUCCUGAGCUUCAGAACAAAUGGCUCUUCGGAUCGUUUACGGGGUGGUGUUCCUAUCUUUCUCAUGCGCCUGCAUCAAGCUCCUCCACCUCAUGCUCCACCCAAUCUUCCACUUCACCUCCUGAAGAGAAGAACGUACACCAAGUGUUUGAUGAAAUGGUAGGUAUGCUAUAUAACUGAUUUGAGCCGUUGCUUGGCGCACUUCAUCUUCGAGUUGGUAUUCUGAAUAAUGCAGGGGAAGUAUUGGGGUUUACCUUGUAAUUGGGAAAAUUAUAAGAAAGCUGUGUCUUGUGUAAUAUAACUGAGUAAAUCCAAAAUCGAAUUGAUGUUUAGCAAGGUAUUGCUUGGAUGAACAGGCAUCAACUUACUAAGGCUAAAUUUGAAGGUGGAACGAGUUUCUAGAAUUGUCAAUUUGGCCAUACGAAGUAAGCAAGCUUGGAGAAUUAUGCAGCAACCUAAUGGUUGUGGUAAGGAUUUUAGAAGGGAUUUAUUUUCUCUCAAACUUUUAUGCACUGUAGUAAAAAUCCUAGAGCCUUUAUUUCGUUGAGAGUAUUUUAGAAGUGCUUCUUAUCAUCUCCAAGCGCAGCCUAGCGUAGAGAAUAUUUUAUGCAGAUGUCUAAAUAAAUCAUUGAUCUCUUGACAUAACCUGUUCCGGAAGCAUAUCAUUAAGGAUCCGAUAUGCCCUUGUUGCGAGAAGGUUACCAAGACUAUGGAACAUUUGCUGACUGGGUGUGAUUGGGCACGUUUUGUUUGUUUUGGAUCUCCUUCUAAUCUGUCAAUGUAUGAAAAUCCUGUACAUUUUGUGAAAACGCUGUUUGGAUUGAAACUAAACCUAAUCUUCAUGCUUUAAGCUGCA